UGAAUAUAUAAGAAUUUUUUAUAUCGGAUAUAAAAGAAAAAAGAAAUAUAAUAUUACAAUAGCAACUUUAGAGAUAUUCCAUGGAUAGAGAAAAUGCCAACGUUAAAACUUGUUCCUUCGUCACGUUGAUAAGCUAUGAAAAAAGGAAAUAUAAAAUAGAUUUGUCCGUUGGGUAGAUGUGAGUAGGAGAUGAAUAGAAAGAAAAACGGUACGAACAUUUCAACAUUGCAUAUAUACGUUCUCUGAUCCCGACAUUUCCGUUUCUCAUGCUGUAAAACGAGGAAAAAGUAUUUUAAGUAUAUUACGUAUGUGGUAUUCGACUGUCAGGAGUUAACGAGAUGAACCCGUACGGAUGAACCUUCUAUACGAUUGGGAUUAACUGACAUGGGAGAACGAGACGUUAACGAUUCAAAGGCAAAUAGACGAGAGAAAAGAGGGCCGUUAAGGAAAAAAGAAAUAAAAUAAAAGAAAAGAAGAAUUUGCAACGAGAAGCAAUUAGACAGAGUUCCCAGAGGUUUCGAGUUAUCCUAUGUAAAUAUUACUUUCGUUUCCUGAUGCAUCAUUAAGACGAGAACUCUUGUCGCAUAGAUCGAACGAUUCGGCUGGGAUUCUUCGUUGAAUAAUAAAUAAAAGGGAAAGAGAUCGAGGAACAUCGAGAGAACAUAUAACAUCCGUACGGUGUUAGAGAAGGACGGCCGCUUUGGGCUCGUAAAAUUCGGCCUAGAGACGAAAGUUUUCCUGGCUCACUCGAGCUAGUGUGCAGCAAGUAUGGAUCGUGAGAUGUUCUAGUUCUAAAGAAAUAAAGAGAAGGAACGCGAAGAGGAAACACGCGAAAAGAGAACUUCUAAUCAAUGAAAAGGCAACGCCAAGGCACGAUUCAGCUUUCGAGUUUUGAGUCUGAGAGAUGUCAC